AUACACCACAACUUAAUGUGAUAUUUAC
rnacentral:guide_RNA from 1 species